rnacentral:rRNA from 1 species
GAUGAACGCUGGCGGCGUGCCUAAUACAUGCAAGUCGAGCGAACGGACGAGAAGCUUGCUUCCCUGAUGUUAGCGGCGGACGGGUGAGUAACACGUGGAUAACCUACCUAUUAGAGGGGAAUAACAGUGAGAAAUCAUUGCUAAUACCGCAUAUGCUAACAGUAUCGCAUGAUACAGUUAGGAAAGGAGCAAUCCGCUAAUAGAUGGGCUUGCGUCUGAUUAGCCAGUUGGUGGGGUAACGGCCUACCAAGGCGACGAUCAGUAGCCGGACUGAGAGGUUGAACGGCCACAUUGGGACUGAGAUACGGCCCAG